AGGAGGAGGGUGACUCAGAGUCCCUGACUUUCCACAGCCCAACCGCUGGGCCUGGGCGGUGCUGAGGAGGACGGGAACACGAGGUGCCCGGACGGUGCCCCCACCCGGGCUGCUGUGGCUGAACCAGUCACAGCUAAGCUAGAGUCCUCCUCCAAAUUCUUUCCCCCCUGGGGCUCCUGACAGUGGGGACUGGAGAGGCCCCCAGAGGAGGCUGUCCCCAGAGGCUGCAAGGACUGAGGCUGACUUGCUUCCUCCCCUGUGUCUGCGUCUCUGCCACCCCUGGAGUCAUCGCAGGUCAAGAGGGAGACCCUGGAGGAGAAGCAAAAGCCCUGCCUCCUGCUUUGGAAGGGUCCCACAGCUGGGGACUAGCAGUGACGCAGUGAGAAGAGCUGGCUCGACUGGGCCUAACUCCUCUCCUGUGUCACGUCUCACCUCUGCUGGAGACACAUGGACUCUCUGGGUUCUGCACUUGAGAUUUUGUGCAUUACAGAGCGGAGGACGAGCUCCCUGUUCUGCAAGGACACUCCGAGGGACGGAGGAGUCCAGAAGGAUUGGAAGGAUAACACAACCCGGGAUUAGAUGGAAGAAACUCUUGGCUCCGAUGGUCCUGUCCUGGGGAAGAUGGCCGGGCCCCAGGGAAGCCCAUGUUGUGGAGGGAGCAGGUUCCGGGGCUGAGCGCGACCUGAUCUUUCUGAGUCAGAUCUCCUCUCAAGCCAACCUCAGCCAGCUGUUGCCUAACGACACUUGCUGUGCGGACACCGGACACCCGACACGGACCCCACAUGAGCCUGCGGCAGGAGCUUCCAUUCUGCUGUGCAUCUUGUCCCCCUGAAGGUCUGGGGGCAGCAACUUGCAGGGAGCUGCCAUCUGUGACAGCGAUGCCCUCUCCUGAGGGAGACGCCUGCCCGACAGGUAGCACUGGGCAGAGCCCCCCUGAAGGGACCUCAGGAGGACCUCGUGCAGGCUGGGGACAUUCUGUCUUCUGAGUCGAGCUGCUCUGUCUAAGAAAAUUCUUCCUACGUUUUGCCAAAAGUCGCCUCCCUGCAACUCCUCCUUGUGGGUCCUGGUUCUGUCAGAAGCAAAUGUCAAACAACAGUCCUGAAGGAGAAGACCUGGGACAUCAAUAGUCCUGAUGGAACUGGGCUGGGUGAUGGCAUCUCCUGCAGCGGCCAUCCCCGUGGCUCUUAGCCCCAGAGCCAGGCCCGGACUGAAGUCAAGGAUCUUUCAGUGAAAUCUGAAAAACCAAAAAGUUCUCAGUUCUUGGAUGCUUCUGUUAGCAAAGCAUAAAACAGCUUCUUUCUCCACUCUUUCAGCCCAGAGCGUGCUGCCAGACUGGCAGGAGGCCAAGGGGAAAGGCACUCUCCUUGUGCAAAGAUGACAGUCACACGGCUCCGGAGCCAUGACCUCACCUCAGUUAAUACGUGCUGUCCAGCCUGUAAUCACUGAGCAUCCAGGGAGUGGGCCAGCGAGGUAGCCACCCGCGUCAGGCCUCCUGUUUACAGAGCCUUUCUGGCGUCAGGUGUAAAAUCAUGACCCGCGAGUCCCCUUCCUGCCUCGCCUGGCAGCCCUUUGGAAGCUGGCGUGUGCGCUGUGACACAGGAGGAAUGCACCUGUCUUUUUUUAGAUUGAUAGCUUGGCUCUCUGAUGACUCCUGUUAAAAACAACUUGUACACUUGAAGUUCACAGCAUCAGAGUGGGGAACCUGCAUCAGGUGCCUUCGGGCCGGGCAGGGGGAGUUUGGUCUCCGGAGUGUGGGCAAAAGAACGGUUGCAUUAUUUUUCUAAAUCAGAGGUCAUCUGGCAAUAUCAGUCACUAUUCGGUUACUUUGUCCAUCCAGCUGCUCAUCCAAGAGGAAGCAUACUUUGGGGCACUGUGGCCAGGCCUCUGCUGCCCUGGCUUCUGGGGCCGAGCACUGCUGUAGCUGAGGGUCCCAUGGAUCUCAGGCUCUUGCGAGUGCUCCAAGGACUUGGCCCCAGAAAUGCCCCUCCCUGGGUCAAGAACCCACAGGUGUCUGCAGCCUCUGUCCUUCCCCGCCCAGGUGCCGUGUGCAGCAAGGCCUCGCUCCAGUCCUGGUGUGCCCCCCACCCUUUUCCCCUCAGGCAUGCAGAAGCACUCUGCCAAGGCUGCCCCUGCCACUUUGCAUGAGCCUCCCUUCCUCCCUCCCUCACCAAGGGACAGUCCGAUGACAGCAGUCCUCCCUUCUUCAAGGGGGAUGUAUUUCAAGAGCCCAGACGAUGCCUGAACCCGGGAAUAGUACCAAACCUGGGACCUACUGUUUUUUCCCCAGACGCUUAGACCCACAAGAGUUUAGGGCCGUUUCCAUCCUGACCAAACCCUACCCCAUACGAUGGCUACAGCGUUCGCAGCGUGAGGUGGGACAGCGACGGGGCGUGGGUUUCUUCCCCUUCUUCACUGCAUCAUGGACAGACAGACGCUCCUUCUUACCCACAGAUCUUUGCAACUUCAGUUCAUGGUUUGUUUCCUUCUUAAGUCAAGAACUUUCCCUUUUCCUCUCACAGGAAGCGCUUCAUGGCCUAUCUGACUGCCAGCGUCCCUGCUCUUGUGCUCAGGGGCCAUGAUUAAGUAAAAUAAAGGCCGCCUGAACACAG